rnacentral:tRNA from 1 species
GGUGAGGUGUCCGAGUGGCUGAAGGAGCACGCCUGGAAAGCGUGUGUGCGUUAACGCGUACCGAGGGUUCGAAUCCCUCCCUCACCGCCA